rnacentral:rRNA from 1 species
UACGUAGGUGGCAAGCGUUGUCCGGAAUUAUUGGGCGUAAAGGGCGCGUAGGCGGCCUUCUAAGUCGAACGAUCGGAAUCCCGGCUCAACCCGGGAACUGCGUCCGAUACUGGGAGGCUUGAAUCCGGGAGAGGGAUGUGGAAUUUCCAGGGUGUAGCGGUGAAAAUGCGUAGAUAUCGGGAGGAACACCCGUAGCGAAGGCGGUUCUCUGGGCCAAUACUGACGCUGAGGAGCGAAAGCGUGGGGAGCAAACAGG